rnacentral:rRNA from 1 species
CAGUCGUGGGCUUUGCAUUCAGCUGGUUCUGCCAGUGUACUUGCUUUGCUCGGGGUCAACAUCGGUUUUGGUCGUCGGAAAAGGCUUGGAGGAAUGUGCCACCCUCGGGUGAACUUAUAGCCUCUUUGCUUAUACGAUGGCUGGGACCGAGGAACGCAGCUUGCCUUUAUGGCCGGGGUUCGCCCACGUACCAAGCUUAGGAUGUUGACAUAAUGGCUUUAAACGACCCGUCUUGAAACACGGACCAAGGAGUCUAGCAUAUAUGCG